GGGUGUUUCAAAUGAUAGGAGAUAUGGUUGAUGUGCCAACAUAGUUGGAAUGUCAAUUUACAUCACAUGAUACUUUUGCACGCUAUUCUUGUUUAAAAAAAUAAAAAUACAAAAUCAUUAAGGUUUACACUUGAGGUUCGAGCUCAUAUGGUAACUGUUUAGCCCUGAAACAUUAAGGAGUUGUGUUCGAAUCAUCUUGGGAACAUGAGUAAAAUGGACAUUAGUGCCACUAUAAUUAAUAAUAAAAGAGCAAUC
rnacentral:lncRNA from 1 species